GCCGCCAUGUUGAAAUUGGUAGACACGCUGCUCUUAGGAAGCAGUGCUCAAGCAUCUCGGUUCGAGUCCGAGUGGCGGCA
rnacentral:tRNA from 1 species